rnacentral:rRNA from 1 species
UACAGAGGGUGCAAGCGUUAAUCGGAAUUACUGGGCGUAAAGCGUGCGUAGUCGGUUAUCUAAGUCGGGUGUGAAAUCCCCGGGCUCAACCUGGGAAUGGCAAUGGAUACUGGGCAGCUAGAGUGUGUCAGAGGAUGGUGGAAUUCCCGGUGUAGCGGUGAAAUGCGUAGAGAUCGGGAGGAACAUCAGUGGCGAAGGCGGCCAUCUGGGACAACACUGACGCUGAAGCACGAAAGCGUGGGGAGCAAACGGG